UAAGGAUCGGUGGUGUUGGGUUGGUAAUUCGAGAAAGUAAUCGGACGAUCGAAGCGCGAACCGAUUUUCCACGAGUGAGAAAUUGGCAGCGCAAGCUUUUUUCCGAUAUUAGCUGGUGGUCGGAAAGAGCAGGCGCGCGCGGAUCGCGGGGGAAUCUCGAACCUCUUUGUCCUAAAUGAGUGAGAAGGCCUUUUCAUUUUGAAUGCAUCGCGAAUCUGGGUCAAUUCUGGCUACACCCGGCGUCGCUACGCUACACAUUGCCUAUUUCAGUCCCUCUUUUACUCUCGGAUAAUCGAAGCAAAGUCACCAGGCAAUGGCUUUUCCGCCCGAGUUCCGCGUCUUCUACCACAAUUAUCUCUCUCUCUCUCUCUUCCUUUCUUUCUCUCUAGUCUGUCGACCUUCAAGGUUGUCUAUCUUUCCGCAACUUUUCUCUUUUGUAUUUCGAUCUUUAUUAAUCUCGCUUUAUUCCACUCGUUCGCAUCCUCUGUACAGUAUUUAUCACGUUGCUAUCAGUACGUCUCUUUGAAGCUCGAUCGCUCGGUAUUUCCCGUCGUUUCUGUGAUAGCGAUAGAGUCGAUCCGACACGGCGUUAUAGGUGGUGGUCGGUCGCGUGGCGGCUCGGUGAAAAUUAUUGGUGUACCAGACCAGGGGAAUUACUGGGCGUCGUUUCAUUCCACGGCAAUUAUCUCCGUUGCAGAACGAUUGCAGCUGGAAAAUGCGAAACGUCUAACCGAGGCCGUUGUGUCGCGGUUACCCGACAGAAUGGAUAUACGUACGGAGAGGAGGAUGACCCUCCGGAAGCGUUGGACAUGGGGUGGCCCAGCAGUGCCAGGAAGAGGUUAACUUACAUUUUAGUCGCGCCAAUUCUAUUCCCUCUUUGGCUCACGUUACCAGACACGAGGACACCCAGAGGUAA